GGAAGGGUGGCCGAGUUGGUUAUGGCGCCAGGUUAAGGUCUGCUUAACAUCUGUUUCCUGGUGGGGCAACCCGCGCGAGUUCGAGUCUCGUCCCUUUCA
rnacentral:tRNA from 1 species